rnacentral:lncRNA from 1 species
ACCCUUACACAGGCCGCCCUGCUCUGCUCUGGAAUCUUCUUUGUUUUUCCUCACCCAUUAUUUUCUGAGGUAAUGGCCUUGGCUUGUGGCUUUUUCUUUGUUUGCUAUUUGUUGGUGAGUUUUUGUUUUAAUUUUUAUUUGCUAGUUUUUGUUUAUCUUAUUAAAUUUGGAUAGAGGGACAUGACAUGAGUGAGUUUCUUCUAUCCUUCAACCCUGCAAGUCCCGUUGGCAGGUUUCCACUCCCAGUUAAUGUGAAUUUGGUAAACUCACUAAUCAAACACCCUCCUUUUUUGCAAGGAGGGGUUAUAAAGACCUCAGAGUGUAUAUUGGUGGCUGGGGUUUAAUCUAAGUAGGUGUAUAUAUGCUACCUCUCCUUUUAUGUGGUAUUAGAUUAGUGUUUUCUUGAAAGAGAUGUAUGUUAAUAGUCUUUAAAAUACCAUUUUCUAGUUUUCUUAUGCUUAGGCAAUGCUUUUAUAAAA